UACGGAGGGUGCAAGCGUUAAUCGGAAUUACUGGGCGUAAAGCGCACGCAGGUGGCUUGUUAAGUCAGAUGUGAAAGCCCCGGGCUCAACCUGGGAACUGCAUUUGAAACUGGCAAGCUAGAGUCUCGUAGAGGGAGGUAGAAUUCCAGGUGUAGCGGUGAAAUGCGUAGAGAUCGGGAGGAAUACCAGUGGCGAAGGCGGCCGCCUGGACGAAGACUGACGCUCAGGUGCGAAAGCGUGGGGAGCAAACAGG
rnacentral:rRNA from 1 species